rnacentral:rRNA from 1 species
GAAUAUUGCGCAAUGGGCGAAAGCCUGACGCAGCAACGCCGUGUGAGUGAUGAAGGUCCUCGGAUCGUAAAGCUCUGUCGGCAGGAGCGACGGCGUUUUCAUCUAAUAGGUGUAAACGCUGACGGUACCUGCAAAGGAAGCACCGGCUAACUCUGUGCCAGCAGCCGCGGUAAUACAGAGGGUGCAAGCGUUGUCCGGAAUUAUUGGGCGUAAAGCGCACGUAGGCGGGUCAUCAAGUCGGAUGUGAAAGCCCACAGCUCAACUGUGGAAGUGCAUUCGAAACUGGUGAUCUUGAGUUUCGGAGAGGGUGGUGGAAUUCCCAGUGUAGAGGUGAAAUUCGUAGAGAUUGGGAGGAACACCGGUGGCGAAGGCGACCACCUGGCCGCAAACUGACGCUGAGGUGCGAAAGCGUGGGUAGCAAAC